UACGAAGGACCCGAGCGUUAUCCGGAUUUAUUGGGUUUAAAGGGUGCGUAGGCGGAUUAUUAAGUCAGUGGUGAAAGCCUUCAGCUUAACUGAAGAAUUGCCAUUGAUACUGAUGAUCUUGAGUAUGAUUGAGGUGGGCGGAAUGUGUCAUGUAGCGGUGAAAUGCUUAGAUAUGACACAGAACACCGAUUGCGAAGGCAGCUCACUAAGUCAUAACUGACGCUGAUGCACGAAAGCGUGGGGAGCAAACAGG
rnacentral:rRNA from 1 species